UACGUAGGGGGCGAGCGUUGUCCGGAUUUAUUGGGCGUAAAGAGCUCGUAGGCGGUUUGGCAGGUCGGGUGUGAAAACUCCGGGCUCAACUAGGAGACGCCACUCGAUACUGCUAUGACUCGAGUCCGGUAGGGGAGUGCGGAAUUCCUGGUGUAGCGGUGAAAUGCGCAGAUAUCAGGAGGAACACCGGUGGCGAAGGCGGCACUCUGGGCCGGAACUGACGCUGAGGAGCGAAAGCGUGGGGAGCGAACAGG
rnacentral:rRNA from 1 species